rnacentral:lncRNA from 1 species
AGUCAUUUCAUAUCAGAUUGUAAGUUGUAGCAGUGGUGGGAAAAAAAAGAAAGGUGUGGUGACUGGCUCUGCUUUUGAUACUUUUAAAAGUGAAAAUGAUCCUGAUUUGUGGACUUAGGCAGGCUAGAAGCAUGCCUCCAAAGACCAAGUGAAAUGGGUACAAAGCAAGAGGAUGUGUAUAUCAUAAUUCAUGUGUGAAGUUGACAGAAGUAUACUCGUAGCCAAUAGAGCACUAAAUCUGAUUAGACUCUCCUCUGCACGCGUGCCUCAUAAGUCCAUACAUUGCUCUCACAGGUCCACGCUCGUUCCCAUAGUUUUUUUAGUCUUACUCUUGGUGGGUCUUCCAUUUUGUUUUCUACUCUUUUAUUCAAUCUCUC